CACGCACCCGCUCCAGCUGUACAAGCAAGCCACUGCGAGGAUUAGACGCUUGUUAGUUAUGAACUUAGGUGUCUGGUCUGUUUCUUUGCCUUUCAAAGGCACUUCCUGGCAGAGAGGUACAAUGGUGCUUUGCAGGAAACCCUGUGCCCACAGCAUCUGUUCUGCAGCUUGGCAGACCGCAGCUGGCCCUGAGCAUGGCCUACUAAUUCUCUGGGUCAGGUGUGGCUGUGGUGAGAUGGAUCUCAGCCAGACAUCCUCCUGACAGCUGAAAACAAGACCAGCAGAAGCAACCAACCCUCACUGCUCACAGCUUGGGCCCAGUGCUCAGCCCCAGGACCAGCUGACACUGAUAGUAGCUGUUUUAAACCACAGGAAUAAAAUGGAGGAAAAAUCAUCUUCCAAAGACGAGAAAUGCUGCUCACAAAAGAAAGGUGCUGUGUAGAUUCCCAGUAAACAAUAUUAUCUAUAAAUGACUCUGGGAAUCACUAAUAAGUGAUGAUGAAGCUGAU
rnacentral:lncRNA from 1 species